GGCAGAACCGCAGCACGGGUUGGCUGGACCCCUGUCCUUCCCGGUGUGUACGCAUCACGGACACUGGCCUCAGCUAUCUGUCCACCAUGUCGUCCCUCCGCAGCCUCUACCUGCGAUGGUGCUGCCAGGUGCAAGACUUCGGGCUGAAGCACCUCCUGGCCCUGGGGA
rnacentral:sRNA from 1 species